rnacentral:rRNA from 1 species
UGUGAACCCCGUAGCUGAAAUGUCGUGAUGGUCGGGAAUGUAUCCCAAGUAGCACGGGGCCCGAGAAAUCCCGUGUGAAUCUGUCAGGACCACCUGAUAAGCCUAAAUACUCCCAGAUGACCGAUAGCGGACAAGUACCGUGAGGGAAAGGUGAAAAGUACCCCGGGAGGGGAGUGAAAUAGUACCUGAAACCGUGUGCUUACAAGCCGUUGGAGCCUUUUGGGGUGACAGCGUGCCUUUUGAAGAAUGAGCCUGCGAGUUAGUGUUAUGUCGCGAGGUUAACCCGUGUGGGGUAUCCGUAGCGAAAGCGAGUCUGAAUAGGGCGUUUGAGUGGCAUGACCUAGACCCGAAGCGGAGUGAUCUAUCCAUGGCCAGGUUGAAGCGACGGUAAGACGUCGUGGAGGACCGAACCCACUUCAGUUGAAAAUGGAGGGGAUGAGCUGUGGGUAGGGGUGAAAGGCCAAUCAAACUCCGUGAUAGCUGGUUCUCCCCGAAAUGCAUUUAGGUGCAGCGUUACGUGUUUCUUGCCGGAGGUAGAGCUACUGGAUGGCCGAUGGGCCUUCACGGGUUACUGACGUCAGCUAAACUCCGAAUGCCGGUAAGUGAGAGCGUAGCAGUGAGACAGUGGGGGAUAAGCUUCAUUGUCGAGAGGGAAACAGCCCAGACCACCAACUAAGGCCCCUAAGCGUGUGCUAAGUGGGAAAGGAUGUGGAGUUGCUUAGACAACCAGGAGGUUGGCUUAGAAGCAGCCACCCUUGAAAGAGUGCGUAAUAGCUCACUGGUCAAGUGAUUCCGCGCCGAUAAUGUAGCGGGGCUUAAGUUAUCCGCCGAAGCUGUGGCAACCUGUGUGGUUGGGUAGGGGAGCGUCGUGUCAGUGGUGAAGCUGCCGGGUGACUGUGUGGUGGAGUUGAUGCGAGUGAGAAUGCAGGCAU